GGGGGUGUAGCUCAGUGGUAGAGUGUUUGACUACAGGUCAGAAAGUCCUUGGUUCAAACCCAAGUGCCCCCU